UACGUAGGGGGCAAGCGUUGUCCGGAAUCAUUGGGCGUAAAGCGCGUGUAGGCGGCCCGAUAAGUCCGCUGUGAAAGUCACAGGCUCAACCUGUGAAUGCCGCUGGAAACUGUCUGGCUCGAGUCCGGGAGGGGCGAGUGGAAUUCCUGGUGUAGCGGUGAAAUGCGCAGAUAUCAGGAGGAACACCAAUGGCGAAGGCAGCUCGCUGGAACGGUACUGACG
rnacentral:rRNA from 1 species